rnacentral:lncRNA from 1 species
UACCCCCUCGCGGUUUCACAGUUUCUCACUUUAAUACCAUGCAGUUUAAAGUAUAUCAAGUUAUCUCCUGUAGUUUCGCACUUUCUCACUUUAAUACCAUGUGGUUUAAAGUGUAUCAAGUUAGUACCCUGAGGUUUCAUUUUUAUCUUUUUAUUAUCCAUUUCACUAAUUUUUUUCGUUAAACUAGUGACAAAGUUAAAAUUGAAGGGUACUAAAGUGAAUAUUCGAUAAACCUAGGUAGAGUAUCUGAAGUUUUUUUUAUAUACAAUUUAACGAAAUAUUAAUGGGGAAAAGAAAAAUAGUGACAAAGUUAAAACUAAAGGGUACUAAAGUAAAUAUUCGGUAAACCUAGGUAGUGUAUUUGAAGUUUUUUUGUAUACAAUUUAACGAAAUAUUAAUGGGGAAAAGAAAAAUAGUGACAAAGUUAAAACUAAAGGGUACUAAAGUAAAUAUUCGGUAAACCUAGGUAGUGUAUUUGAAGUUUUUUUGUAUAUAAUUUAAUGAAAUAUUAACAGAGGAGCUGACGAAAAGAGAAAAAUAAAACUACAGGGUACUAAAUUGAUGCACUUUAAAUUACAAGGUACGAAAAUGAGAAAGUACGGAACCACAGGGUACUAAAUUAAUACACUUUAAACCAGAGGGUUCUAAAGUGAAAAAGUGCGAACUAGGGAGGUGGUAUUUGAAGUUUUCCCUAAUAUAUAAUAGAACAUAGAAUACUAGUUA